AACGCACCUUGCGCUCCCCGGUAUUCCGAGGAGCAUGCCUGUUUGAGUGUCAUUAAAUUCUCAAUCUUUCAGGUUUCUUAAUGAAAUCAGUCAGACUUGGAUGUUGGAGGUAGCAGGCUUCUUAGUCUGCUCCUCUUAAAUGCAUUAGCGGAACCUAACAUUGUCCCAUUUUUGGUGUGAUAAUUAUCUACAUCAUGAAUGCGGUACAAACUUUUGUAGGGUUCGGCUUCUAACAGUCCAUUCACUUGGACAACUCUUGACAAUUUGACCUCAAAUCAGGUAGGACUACCCGCUGAACUUAA
rnacentral:misc_RNA from 1 species